GACGAACGCUGGCGGCGUGCUUAACACAUGCAAGUAGAACGAGUGGCGAACGGGUGAGUGACACGUGGGUGACCUGCGCUGCACUUCGGGGUAAGCCUGGGAAACUGGGUCUCAUACCGGCUAGUGUUGGAUGAGCCCGCGGCCUUUCAGCUUGUUGUUGGGGUAAUGGCUACCAAGGCGCGACGGGUAGCCGGCCUGAGAGGGUGUACGGCCACAUUGGGACUGAGACACGGCCCAGACUCCUACGGGAGGCAGCAGUGGGGAAUAUUGCACAAGGGGCGGAAGCCGGAUGCAGACAUGCCGCGUGUAUGAAGAAGGCCUUAGGGUUGUAAAGUACUUUCAGCGGGGAGGCGUUACCCGCAGAAGAAGCACCGGCUAACUCCGUGCCAGCAGCCGCGGUAAUUC
rnacentral:rRNA from 1 species